ensembl:lncRNA
CUCAGCGUGUGCUAUUAUACUUGUUAUGUCUAAGAAUAUUGCAGAGAGCAAGUGUAGUGUUGGAGGAUAACAGCAAUCCCACCAAGUUCGAUCUAUGAGAGGUUUGUGUGGUCCUGAUUUCGGAGCACCUUUUGCGUUGACCGCUCCUUUGAAAACCCAAAAUGUGAGUGAGUUUGUAGGACCGCUGAAAGACGAGGGUUCCAACAGUUGACACUUCGAUGUCUAGGAAGCAGCUGGUUGCUGAACAGAGAAAAUAUGCUUCCCUCAUAUUUUUGCAUCCAGAGGAGGAGUUUGAUGAGGUUUGUGUGGGUUACGUUGACAGAGAUAGUGUUCUGCUGAGGAAGUGGCGUUCCCCUCUUCUGGGCAAGACGAUUGGCCCAGUGGAUCUCAAAUUCUAGUUACGCUUCGACAAGAGAUGGCGUCUUGGGGUUAACAAGACGAAUGACCGUAUCUUGGUUAAUUUCUGGUCUGGAACAUGAUAUUGUGGUUUACUGUGAAUCCUGUCACGUUUGCCAGGUGAUGGGUAAACCGAACAGUGCCAGUUCACCUUUGCACCUCUGGUUUUGACUAACCUUUCAGCAGGUUUAUUGGUUCUUUGCCCAAAACAACGAGUGGUAACCAUGUGUGCUGCGACUUGUUUCCCUGAGGUUAUUCCACUGAAGAAAAUCCCAAGGAAAGUUACUACGGAUAUUGCCGGAGUUUCCCCUUGAAAUCAGACAUGUCCAUGGUGUCACGGGACUCGUCUGAAGGCAACCCAUACAAACAAAGAAGUAUGGAGGUAGUUGUGCCAACAAAAAUAAGGGGUUAAAUGUGUCCAAAAUAAAUAAAUGAUCCAUGUUAUCACCAUCUUAAAACAAUUAAACAUGUUAGCUUAGACCCCACCCCCAUCUAUUUUGGACAUAGUGUGUUCGGAAAGUAUUCAGACCCCUUGACUUUUUCCACAUUUUGUUACAUUACAGCCUUAUUCUAAAAUGGUUCAUUUUUUCCCCCCUCAUCAAUCUACACACAAUACCUGAUAAUGACAAUGCAAAAACUGUUUUUAUAAUUUUCUUUCAAAUGUAUCAACAAAAAUAAAGAUAUUUACAUAAAUAUUCAGACCUUUAACUCGGUACUUUGUUGGAGCACCUUUGGCAGCGAUUACAGCCUCGACUCUUCUUGGGGAUGACGCUACAAGCUUCACAUAGCUGGAGGGCAAACUACCUGCCCUCCAGGACACCUACACCACCCGAUGUCACAGGAAGGCCAUAAAGAUCAUCAAGGACAACAACCACCCGAGCCACUGCCUGUUCACCCCGCUAUCAUCCAGAAGGCGAGGUCAGUACAGGUGCAUCAAAGCUGGGACCGAGAGACUGAAAAACAGCUUCUAUCUCAAGGCCAUCAGACUGUUAAACAGCCACCACUAACAUUGAGUGGCUACUGCCAACACACUGACUCUACUCCAGCCACUUUAAUCAUGGGAAUUGAUGUAAAAUAUAUCACUAGCCACUUUAAACAAUGCCAGAAUCUCUAGUGGCACAGCUAGCACUGCGAUGCAGUGCCUUAGAC